rnacentral:sRNA from 1 species
AGACGAACUGAUUGAGUGAGUGGGGA